rnacentral:rRNA from 1 species
UACGGAGGGAGCUAGCGUUGUUCGGAUAUACUGGGCGUAAAGCGCACGUAGGCGGCGCCGUAAGUCAGGGGUGAAAUCCCGGAGCUCAACUCCGGAACUGCCCUUGAAACUGCAGUGCUAGAAUCUUGGAGAGGCGAGUGGAAUUCCGAGUGUAGAGGUGAAAUUCGUAGAUAUUCGGAAGAACACCAGUGGCGAAGGCGACUCGCUGGACAAGUAUUGACGCUGAGGUGCGAAAGCGUGGGGAGCGAACAGG